rnacentral:rRNA from 1 species
GACGAACGCUGGCGGCGUGCUUAACACAUGCAAGUCGAACGGAAAGGCCCUGCUUUUGUGGGGUGCUCGAGUGGCGAACGGGUGAGUAACACGUGAGUAACCUGCCCUUGACUUUGGGAUAACUUCAGGAAACUGGGGCUAAUACCGGAUAGGAGCUCCUGCUGCAUGGUGGGGGUUGGAAAGUUUCGGCGGUUGGGGAUGGACUCGCGGCUUAUCAGCUUGUUGGUGGGGUAGUGGCUUACCAAGGCUUUGACGGGUAGCCGGCCUGAGAGGGUGACCGGCCACAUUGGGACUGAGAUACGGCCGAGACUCCUACGGGAGGCAGCAGUGGGGAAUAUUGCACAAUGGGCGGAAGCCUGAUGCAGCAACGCCGCGUGCGGGAUGACGGCCUUCGGGUUGUAAACCGCUUUCGCCUGUGACGAAGCGUGAGUGAGGGUAAUGGGUAAAGAAGCACCGGCUAACUACGUG